rnacentral:rRNA from 2 species
UGGAGCAACGCCGCGUGAGUGAAGAAGGGUUUCGGCUCGUAAAACUCUGUUGUUAGAGAAGAACAGCCGUGAGAGCAACUGCUCACGGUAUGACGGUAUCUAACCAGAAAGUCACGGCUAACUACGUGCCAGCAGCCGCGGUAAUACGUAGGUGGCAAACGUUGUCCGGAUUUAUUGGGCGUAAAGGGAGCGCAGGCGGUUUAUUAAGUCUGAUGUGAAAGCCUUCGGCUUAACCGGAGAAGUGCAUCGGAAACUGAUAAACUUGAGUGCAGAAAAGGAUAGUGGAACUUCAUGUGUAGCGGUGAAAUGCGUAGAUAUAUGAAGGAACACCAGUGGCGAAGGCGGCUAUCUGGUCUGUAACUGACGCUGAGGCUCGAAAGCAUGGGUAGCAAACAGGAUUAGAUACCCUGGUAGUCCAUGCCGUAAACGAUGAAUGCUAGGUGUUGGAAGGUUUCCGCCUUUCAGUGCCGCAGCUAACGCAUUAAGCAUUCCGCCUGGGGAGUACGACCGCAAGGUUG